rnacentral:rRNA from 1 species
UACGAAGGGUGCAAGCGUUAAUCGGAAUUACUGGGCGUAAAGCGUGCGUAGGCGGUUUGUUAAGUCUGCUGUGAAAUCCCCGGGCUCAACCUGGGAAUGGCAAUGGAUACUGGCAAGCUAGAGUGUGAUAGAGGAUGGUGGAAUUCCCGGUGUAGCGGUGAAAUGCGUAGAGAUCGGGAGGAACAUCAGUGGCGAAGGCGGCCAUCUGGAUCAACACUGACGCUGAGGCACGAAAGCGUGGGGAGCAAACAGG